CGCGACUCUAACGAAUCCUUUAGACGUUGCGAAAACUAGAAUAAUGUUAUCGAGUACAACGGUGGGCAAAGAUGAAACGAGAAUUUCCGUAAUGCUAAAUAGGGUUUAUCGAGAAUACGGCAUUAAAGGACUCUUCGCAGGCUUUUUACCAAGAGUCGGUGGUUUCACUCUCAGCGGUUUUAUGUUUUUCGGUGUCUACGAGAAAGUUAGAGAACUUUGUGUAUCAAUUUUAUCAACUUAAUCAGACGAUGUGUCAAUAAAUAUAAAAUAACAAACAAUAUCUUGUCGUACGUGCUACUAUUGUAUAGCCCAAGUGGACAAAUAGUUUAGAUAAAUGAUCUCAAGGAGAACAAAGAACUUGCUUGUGCAAUACAACAAAAUGAAAAGAUACAUACACCAUCUUGCUAUUAAUAUUAAUAGUAAAACGUGCUACAGUCUUCUAUAAGAAGCUUUGACUUCUUAUUGACAUAAUCAAAAAUUAUUACUUACUUACUUUUUGAAGUAUCUUUUUACGUAUAUCCCAAUUAAUAAAUAUUUCAAGAAAAAAAUUCGACGUAUAUCGAAGGAAUGUAAAAUAUAAUGUAUAUUUAAAAAUAA